UAUAAGUAUAUACGAUUUAAUCGUGAAACCGCGAACGGCUCAUUAUAACAGCUAUAAUUUACUUGAUCUUGACUUCCUACUUGGAUAACUGUGGUAAUUCUAGAGCUAAUACAUGCACCAAAGCUCCGACCUUACGGGAAGAGCGCAUUUAUUCGAACAAAACCAAGCGGCUUCGGCCGUCCGCAGUUGACUCAGAAUAACUAAGCUGAUCGCAUGGUCUUGUACCGGCGACGUGUCUUUCAAGUAUCUGCCUUAUCAACUUUCGAUGGUAGUGUAUCUGACUACCAUGGUGGUGACGGGUAACGGAGGAUAAGGGUUCGACUCCGGAGAAGGGGCCUGAGAAAUGGCCACUACGUCUAAGGAUGGCAGCAGGCGCGCAAAUUACCCACUCUCAGAAUGAGGAGGUAGUGACGAGAAAUAACGAGACCGUUCUCUACGAGGCCGGUCAUCGGAAUGGGUACAAUUUAAA
rnacentral:rRNA from 1 species